GGAGCGGCAUUAGGCCCGGUGGCCCAGCUGGUCCCUUCAAAACCAGUGCGGUCGUGUAGAGCACGGCUCGGUCGGUUCGACUCCGGCGCCGCUCCG
rnacentral:tRNA from 1 species